AGAUUGAACGCUGGCGGCAUGCCUUACACAUGCAAGUCGAACGGUAGAGUAGCAAUACUUGAGAGUGGCGAACGGGUGAGUAAUAUAUCGGAACGUGCCCAGUCGUGGGGGAUAACGUAGAGAAAUUUACGCUAAUACCGCAUACGAUCUAAGGAUGAAAGCGGGGGACCUAAGGCCUCGCGCGAUUGGAGCGGCUGAUAUCAGAUUAGGUUGUUGGGUGAGGUAAAAGCUCACCAAGCCGACGAUCUGUAGCUGGUUUGAGAGAACGACCAGCCACACUGGGACUGAGACACGGCCCAGACUCCGUACGGGAGCAGCAGUGGGGAAUUUGGACAAGUGGGCGAAAG
rnacentral:rRNA from 1 species